rnacentral:sRNA from 1 species
UCCUAAGUUUGCAAAUGAAGAAACAGAAUUCCAAGUACAAGUUUGGAAGCCCAGGUUCACAGAAGUAAUCAUAGCAGAACCAGCACUGGGAUUCAGGCUCAGCUGUGGAAUUACAGACUGUUUCUUCAACUGAGAGAAGAUGAGGAAAUUUAAAUGGACCUAAGCCACAUGGCUUGACCACAGAUAGAAGCUCUCUCUCAAAGGCUCACAUGAUUCAUUCAGCUACUGGGUGGAUGAAAAGUCCCCAGUGGGGCCUGACCAAACCCAAGCUAUCAAACGCCUCGCCAGGAUCUCCUUGGUGAAGAAGCUAAUGAAGAAGUGGUCUGUGACUCAGAACCUGACAUUUCGAGAACAGCUGGAAGCCGGGAUCCGCUACUUUGACCUGCGUGUGUCUUCCAAACCAGGGGAUGCUGACCAGGAGAUCUACUUCAUCCAUGGGCUUUUUGGCAUCAAGGUCUGGGAUGGGCUAAUGGAAAUUGACUCGUUUCUUACACAGCACCCCCAGGAGAUUAUCUUCCUGGAUUUCAAC